GCAAGUUAAUUUUAAUAUUCUAUUCGAUUG
rnacentral:piRNA from 1 species